AACGAACGCUGGCGGCAUGCCUAACACAUGCAAGUCGAACGGGAUCCAGGCUUCGGCCUGGUGAGAGUGGCGGACGGGUGAGUAACACGUGGGAACCUGCCUUUUGGUUCGGGAUAACCGCGGGAAACUGCGGCUAAUACCGGAUGCUCCCGAGAGGGGAAAGAUUUAUCGCCAGAAGAGGGGCCCGCGUCCGAUUAGGUAGUUGGUGAGGUAAUGGCUCACCAAGCCGACGAUCGGUAGCUGGUCUGAGAGGAUGAUCAGCCACACUGGGACUGAGAUACGGCCCAGACUCCUACGGGAGGCAGCAGUGGGGAAUAUUGGACAAUGGGGGCAACCCUGAUCUAGCAAUGCCGCGUGAGUGAUGAAGGCCUUAGGGUUGUAAAGCUCUUUUGCCAGGGAAGAUGAUGACUGUACCUGGAGAAUAAGCCCCGGCUAACUUCGUGCCAGCAGCCGCGGUAA
rnacentral:rRNA from 1 species